GAUGAACGCUGGCGGCGUGCUUAACACAUGCAAGUCGAACGGAAAGGCCCUGCGCUUGUUGGGUGCUCGAUAGGCGAAGGGGUGAGUAACACGUGUGUAACCUGCCCUUGUCUUUGGGAUAACUUCAGGAAACUGGGGCUAAUAUCGGGGAGGAGCUCCUGCUGCAUGGUGGGGGUUGGAAAGAUUCGGCUGUUGGGGAUGGAUUGGCGGCUUAUCAGCUUGUUGGUGGGGUAGUGGCUUACCAAGUCUUUGACGGGUAGCCGGCCUGAGAGGGGUAACGGCCACAUGGGGACUGAGGUACGCACCAGACUCCUACGGGAGGCAACAGUGGGGAACAUUGCACAAUGGGGGGAAGCCUGAGGUAGAAAUGCCGGGUGCGGGAUGCCGGGUUUCGAGGUGUAAACCGCUUUCGACUGUGACGAAGCGUGAGUGACGGUAAUGGGUAAAGAAGCACCGGCUAACUACGUG
rnacentral:rRNA from 1 species